GGUGUUCACAUUUGUGUAAAUCAGGCAUUUAAAUGUUAACCCCCCCAGUACAAGAAUGCCUUUGGUUCAUCUUCUCCAUGUUGAGGGUUUGUUUAAAGGAAGAUGAUGAAAGGGGGAAAAAGCUAAACACUCAGAUGCUGUGCUUCUUAAUACUUAUGCCAAUUGAUACUCCUGCUGUCACUACCAAGAACUCUGACUGAAUGAAGAUAUGCACCAGGGGAGGAUGCCCCAUGUAUUGAAGUACUGCUAUCAGCUCUUGGAGAAGCCUGACUAGCCUGAAAAGAAAGUUGAUGCAAUCAGCAGUCUCCUUGCUGCUGCCCCCAGCCUCUCUGGAUGGAUACACAGCACCUCCAAGAUCAAGUAUGGCUGCCUGUUUGGAGCCACAACAAAAGCAGUAACAACAGACUUUGACACCUGUGUUUCCUCCAGCUG